rnacentral:rRNA from 1 species
UACGAAGGGGCUAGCGUUGCUCGGAAUCACUGGGCGUAAAGGGUGCGUAGGCGGGUUUUAAGUCAGAGGUGAAAUCCUGGAGCUCAACUCCAGAACUGCCUUUGAUACUGAGAAUCUUGAGUAUGGGAGAGGUGAGUGGAACUGCGAGUGUAGAGGUGAAAUUCGUAGAUAUUCGCAAGAACACCAGUGGCGAAGGCGGCUCACUGGCCCAUAACUGACGCUGAGGCACGAAAAGCGUGGGGAGCAAAC